rnacentral:rRNA from 1 species
CCUACGGGAGGCAGCAGUGGGGAAUUUUGGACAAUGGGCGCAAGCCUGAUCCAGCAAUGCCGCGUGAGUGAAGAAGGCCUUCGGGUUGUAAAGCUCUUUUGUCAGGGAAGAAAAGGGUGUGGCUAAUAUCUGCGCCUCAUGACGGUACCUGAAGAAUAAGCACCGGCUAACUACGUGCCAGCAGCCGCGGUAAUACGUAGGGUGCAAGCGUUAAUCGGAAUUACUGGGCGUAAAGCGUGCGCAGGCGGUUUUGUAAGACUGUCGUGAAAUCCCCGGGCUCAACCUGGGAAUGGCGAUGGUGACUGCAAGGCUAGAGUUUGGCAGAGGGGGGUAGAAUUCCACGUGUAGCAGUGAAAUGCGUAGAUAUGUGGAGGAACACCGAUGGCGAAGGCAGCCCCCUGGGUCAAAACUGACGCUCAUGCACGAAAGCGUGGGGAGCAAACAGGAUUAGAUACCCUGGUAGUCCACGCCCUAAACGAUGUCUACUAGUUGUCGGGUCUUAAUUGACUUGGUAACGCAGCUAACGCGUGAAGUAGACCGCCUGGGGAGUACGGUCGCAAGAUUAAAACUCAAAAGAGUAGUACGGACGNGAGAGAGACGACGACGACGACGACGGAGGGAGGAGG